CCAGCAGCCGCGGUAACUCCAGUAGCGUAUAUUGAAGUUGCUUGAGUUAAAUAAAGUCGUUCCUGAAUCCUGGGACCACAGUUGCUCGUCAGUCCUUUCGAAAAUGGCUAUGUGCGAUUGCGCACGAUCUGUGUUUAUAUGACUGUUCCACCUGAGUUGGCGAUUUGGCGGUGACACCUUUCUGCUAUGUCUUUUGUGAGAUACCCUCUGGUGUAGGUAGGUUUCGAGCGGUGCUGGCAUUAUUUCGGUCAUCUGCAUGCCUUUUGGUGCUCUUUAAAAGGUGUCUGUGGGCGGAUGGCACGUUUGCUUUGAAACAAUUUGAGCGCUCAAUCCAGGAAGAUUUUGCGUGAAAAUUUAGCAUGGAACAGUUAAAAGGAUAACGGGUUUUUUAAUGUGCUUUGUGGAUACGAAGCAAUGAUCAAAAGAGACAGGCGGGG
rnacentral:rRNA from 1 species